UUCCUCGAUAGUCCUGAUCUAAAAUAUUUUUAGUCAUUGGUAUAUUGAAUCAGAGAUUAAUGAUACCGAUAAGACUGGCAUGUCCUAUGUAUGCUCAGAAAUGAGGAUGGUUGAUCUCACAACCACUUGUGUCGUGACACUAAUAUAAGGAUAUAGAUGCUCAUUAGAGAAUGAGUUCACUGAACUGACCUAUGUGAGAAUAUCAGAUGGAGUCUUAUUUACUUGUCAACUGAUGAUUCUCUAAUUAGAGUUGUGUAAGUGAUUCUUAGACCUGAGGUCACCAUGGUACCUUGUGUAUAUGGAUCCAUAUUUUGGUUCACUAUCUAGC
rnacentral:lncRNA from 1 species